CCCGGCGCCGCCGCUGACACGAGUUGUUCUCGGCUCGCCUUCUCUCUUUCCUUCCCGAGCGCCGGCAGGCACCGGGGAAGGAAGCGGACGGCAGCGCGCCUUCCCCGCCGCUGCCGCUGCCGCGGGGGCCGCAGGUCCGAGGACGGGGCUCGCGGCUCGGACAGGCGGCCGCCGCGGCGCAGAGGCCUUACCGAGCUGGCGACGGGAGCCAGAAGGCACACACGCAACUUAUUUCUGGGAUCUCGAAGGCAGAAAGCGGUCUGACAGAGGUGGUCGGAGCUUCCCGGAGCCGCGCAGCGCGCUGUCCUACAGACGGAGUUCAGAAAGGGGGCUAGCGGACACGGACUGAGAUGCUGCGCUAAUUGAAUACGCCCUGGCUAAGCCCACCACACCAAAACCCGCCAGCUCUGGAGAAGAAAAAGAACUAUGUUUCCUGCAGACUGCUUCCUGAAAGAUGUUAUCAUUGGAAAAUACACUUAUGCGGUAUAUUGGCUCCUAAGACACCAGUCUGAUUACAUCUUAUUCACUAAAUCAAGCUGUAGGUGCCCUCUCAAAGAGAUGCAGAAAGAUGAGAUGGAUGGCAAGAGGAAGAAAAGCCACAUCAUCAGAAACAGAGCUAGCUUGUGCUCCGCCGCCCCAGCUGGAACACAGCAGCAAGACCAAACAGAAAACCUCCUUGGACUCCGUCUUGCUGGGGACCCUGGUACAGCUCUACCCUCCCACUUUUCACGAGACUAACAAGGACAUUUUUUUUUCCAUUGCAAACCAAGAUACCUCAUGUUCUAUUUUAUGGGAGAUGUUGUAGUUUACUUUGAACAAAAAUUAUUUUCAAUUCAAAUAGAAUAGCCCUAAUUCCUAGCUGGUUUUCCUUAGUCUGUAGCUGUUAUAAGUCUAUUAAAAGUAAACUUAGAAAACCAAACCAGUCAUCUUAUCAUAAAGUUAGAGUUUUUGCUGGAACAGUCCUUCAAACAUGAUACAUAGAAAUAUUACUAUCAGCUGAAGAGAAUUCUUACGAUUUUCUUUCAUUAGCAUACUCAAAACAGCAAAGUAAAUGAUUAUUUAGUAAAUAAUUUGGAAUAAGCGAGUGUGGUUUAAGACAGGCUGCUGAACUGGAGUAAAGAAAUUAUAAAGACUGACUUCUCUUUGGGGGCAAAGUUCAAAUUUCAGCUACUAGAUGUUGCUGGGAGAAGGUGAGGGUAUAGCAUCCGAAGGGAUUGCUAAUAAUGAAGUCACCUUGAAGGUGUAUUAGUAUUACAACUGCUUAACAAAGUCACAGGCUAAUGUUAUUUCAAUGAUAAAUCAAGUGUGGCAAAUUGGUGGCUCUAUCAGCAAGAGAGACACUGAUACCAAAGUUGUGUAUUCCUAGAAAUAUAUACAUAAGAUGAAGUAACUUGUUUGCAACACGUUUAUGUAAACUGCUGAAAUGAAACUAGUCCUAAGCUGCUUUCAGGAGUAAAGUUCUAUGGAAUCACAACAGAU